AGCUCCAAUAGCGUAUAUUAAAGUUGUUGCAGUUAAAAAGCUCGUAGUUGGAUUUCUGGUUGAAACGACCGGUCCGCCUGCAUUAGCGGGUGCGUACUUGUGUGGUUUUGUCCAUUUUUUGUGAGGAUGUCUUUCUGCCAUUAAGUUGGUGGGUUGAUGGACUUGCAUCGUUUACUGUGAAAAAAUUAGAGUGUUUAAAGCAGGCGUUUGCCUAUUUUUGAAUACAUUAGCAUGGAAUAAUAAGAUACGACCUUGGUGGUCUAUUUUGUUGGUUUGCACACCAGGGUAAUGAUUAAUAGGGACAGUUGGGGGUAUUCAUAUUUCAGCGUCAGAGGUGAAAUUCUUGGAUCGCUGAAAGAUGAGCUUAGGCGAAAGCAUUUACCAAGGAUGUUUUCAUUA
rnacentral:rRNA from 1 species